AUUGAACGCUGGCGGCAGGCCUAACACAUGCAAGUCGAGCGGAUGAAGGGAGCUUGCUCCUGGAUUCAGCGGCGGACGGGUGAGUAAUGCCUAGGAAUCUGCCUGGUAGUGGGGGAUAACGUCCGGAAACGGGCGCUAAUACCGCAUACGUCCUGAGGGAGAAAGUGGGGGAUCUUCGGACCUCACGCUAUCAGAUGAGCCUAGGUCGGAUUAGCUAGUUGGUGGGGUAAAGGCCUACCAAGGCGACGAUCCGUAACUGGUCUGAGAGGAUGAUCAGUCACACUGGAAAUGAGACACGGUCCAGACUCCUACGGGAGGCAGAAGUGGGGAAUAUUGGACAAAGGGCGAAAGCCUGAUCCAGACAUGCCGCGUGUGUGAAGAAGGUCUUCGGAUUGUAAAGCACUUUAAGUUGGGAGGAAGGGCAGUAAGUUAAUACCUUGCUGUUUUGACGUUACCAACAGAAUAAGCACCGGCUAACUUCGUG
rnacentral:rRNA from 1 species